AAGGGCAUUGGUCUAUCUGUGCCUUUAUAUUGUGUUGGCUUUGGCUAUGUAGCCCCAGGUUCUAUUUGUGAACUCAAUGUCUAUGCCAAAGCAAAUAGAGUGGCAUCCCUAGCUUCUGGACUAUUCUGCUGGAGCUUAGCAGGCCUGUGUACCCACCCACUGUCUCAGGAUCCCAGGAAGGUGUGACUUUUCUUAGCUACAUCUGGGAGCUUGAUUGUCAUUAUGGAAAUAAGACUCUACAACUCUGAAAAAUGCCUGGCUGGAGGUUUAAUCGCGGGUGCAGUUUGUAGAGAGUCACCAACCUUGGAUUUAGUAG
rnacentral:lncRNA from 1 species